rnacentral:tRNA from 1 species
GGUGACUCAGCGGUAGAGUGCUUGCCUGGCAUGCAUGAGGCCCUGAGUUUGAUUCCUCAGUACCA